rnacentral:antisense_RNA from 1 species
AUACCCUUUUGAACAAUGAGAUCUGAAAUGCUAAAGAUAAAGCAGCCAUCUGCUGGCCAUGAGAAGAGAGGCAAUAGGAAAAAAACUACACUCUAAAGAUGAAGCUGUGUUACCUGUAAUCUCUAGUACUGCUCUGCCCCCUUGUGCUGCUGCAGUGAACUCGACAGAGGAACAGUGUGCCUUCGUCUUUGUACAUGAACUACAGAAAAACCCCACUGUCACUUCUCACUUUUCUACUGUAUUACAGGAACCGUUACAUAAAUGGAGAAAGUGAAAAUCAAUCCUAGCUGACAGUGACUUCAGGAUAAUCAGCGCUCACUGGAUACCUCUGUCAGUUCGCCUGCAUCAAACACCGUGUGACUUCUGUCAGAUCUUUUUAAUAAAACUAUAUUCUCAUUUUCAGCAACCUAA